GAAAACCCUAGAUCGCGGAGCGCCCAGUCCCCGCGUCUCCUCCUCCCUUCUCAGCCCUACCUCGAGUGGAGGCAAGCGGGGAACAGAGGCGGCUCGACGACGCAGCGGUGCGAUGGGGCUGGGCCGGUGCGGGGAAGGGCGGCUGCUGUGCAUCGCGUGUCGAGGGCGCGGUGGUGGGUUGGCGGCGGCGACCUGUGUGGCGGCGACGACGGCGUGCGGGAGGAGGAGGGAGGCGGAGCUGCGCCGGCCGCCCAGGUGACGAAGAGGAGGCUGGGGCGCAGCGUGGAGGUGACGGUCGGCCCGCCUCUAGAUGCGAGGCGUGGGAGCGGCGAUUGUCGCGGGUCAACGACGCGGUGGUGGGCUGGCGGCGGCGACCGUCUCCAUGUCUCCUCCAAGUCCGGUUCCCGCGUGCCGUCAGCGGCUCUACGUCUCCUCCAAGUCCAUCCCCGCCGGCCGCCGGCGCAUCUCCUCCAGGUAAAGUCCCUACCGUGACGCCUCCAUCUCAGCUGACGACGCGCGCACGCAUGAGAAGGAAGGCGACGCCUCGUCCUCUCCUCUUCCUCCAGCCUCGACGUCGUCUUCCGGCGUAGCAGCGGCAGGGUUCACACGGGCGGCGGCGGCUGGAUGCUGCUAGGAGGGAGUGUGUGUGUAGUGGUGGCUGAGGAAGGAUGGAGGAGGAAGGGAUGCGGCGGCUGUGGAUAUUGGGAGAAAAUGGAACAUGUACGACCCAUCGUCUUCAACCUCUGUUUGUUGCCAAUCCCAUACUUGCUCGUCUGCGCUUGGUCCAGAUAUGAUCUAUAUACAUAUGAGUUUCCUUGCUUUGAUUGUAAGAUGAUGAGGCUAAGGAGCUAACAAGAUUGAGAGAUCCUAGGCAGGUUUCCUAAUAAUCUAUGGUUCAGUGCUUGUUUACUCUAAAAGGGAUGAGCUGCGUCUUGCUCAACUUGUGUAAAUAAUCUAUGGAGAAGUUGCAUUCGACAUGGUUUCUGUUCAGGUGGCUGCUGAACAUAAUCUGUUCCUACGAGAGCUACACAGAUAUAAUCCAUGCCUAUGUAUUUAGUUGUGGCGUGUCAACAGCCUGACAAUCAGUUCAUCAGCCCAUUAAAGCCUCCGGAGGCAUGGCGUUCGUUGCUGCUGUCGUUUUCUCUUUCUCUCAGGCUGAGUCUCAGCUUUUCUUUCCCUCUCACGUAUUUGGGUUUCUCCAUUUUCAGCAGAUGCAGCCACGGGUGCGGUGGGAAUGGCGGUUGCCGUUCGUGUGAGGAAGGAAGGUGCAGGUCAUGUGGGAAGCUCCUUUGGCGGCUGUGGUCGGACGGCAGCGAGGCGGCGGUGAGCCCUUGUCCAACACCUUAUAUCAUAUCCUGAGGGGCGCGCAAAUCUGCAGCUACCACAAGUCGCCGGUUGCCGGCGUGAAUAGGCGCUGCUCAGCAGGCAGCGGCCGCCAUACAUGCUCCCAGAUUGCCUGCUACACCUCUCCCCCUCCCAGUCAAAAUCACGCCAAAGACUCGUGAUGUGUUUGCACCUGUAUAUUACUUGCUAGAUCUGAAGUAUUCUCAAGUUGAGCUCUUUCACUUGUGGCAGGUCUUGGUGGCGCCGACCACUUGAAAUUGCCUUGUGGCCACACAACGCCCAUGUAGAGCCAACUGGCUCACACCUAUGGAGCCACAGCCAGGCACAGAACAAAUUUGGUGAUCUAGCGGUGGAAGUGGGUCGAUUUGGAGCUUCAGACGGAAGUGGCAUCGUGUCAAAGACCCAUGGUGCAGCCUGCGGAGUCGAAAGGUGAGACUCUGUAUUUGUACGGAAUAAAUCGAAUGUGAGGAAGUAAAGAGAAGCCGGGUGGCAGUAAUCUAGGCUGCAAACAGAACCAACCGAUGAAGCGUGUAGGACGUCCACUAGGAUCUGAGAGUUCAUCAAAUGAAGUCAAGUUGUACGUGCAGAAUGGAUCUUGAUGAGCCGGGUGGCAUAGUAUGUUAUCCAAUGAAGCUGAUUCAGGCCGAAGUACUCAGGUUUGCCACUUUUAGAAUAAAUAUGGUGCAUUUGAAGCAGCAUCAUAUAUGGAUCACUGCAUGUUCAGUUGCCAUGAGGAAAAAAUGGAAGACAAAAAUGAAAAGGCAAUUAUGACAGAAGACCAGACUCACAUGCUUGAAUCAAUGCAUAAGGCAGGUUGUAUCACUUUUCUUUAUCUGGUUGAUGGUUAGUAUUCUCUUGUUAGAAGCCGCGUCUUUGAUGUCGGAGCCUGGCACAUUCUUUUUAAUAUGCUAAUGGUCAGCCUGGAAAUCCGUGACAUGUUUUCUUAGACUGCAGUAGACCAGUUAUUACGUGGCAGCAUACUUUUUUGCCUUCGUUUCUACUCAGUAUUUUAGUUCUCGGAUUUCCUCAGUAUUGCUUUGCUUUGCCAUAUCGACUCACACUCUUCAUGCUCGAAAGCUAUUAUUUCAAAACUAUGCUCUAUCUUCAAAAGUCCAGAUGUUUGUUUAUACGUUGCGGUUGCUUCUGUUUUGGCAGGAAGCUAUUUUAAUUGUUUCUUUUGCAACAGCAAGUUAAAAACUUUGUUCGUGAUAAAAUUGACCAGGAUUUGCAAACCAAUACAUUAUUAGCAGUAAUUGCUGGGACCUAAAAUAUAUUAUACCUAAUUCCGCUCCAAAGAUAAAUAUUUUAAGUCACUUAUGUGCUCUGCUACCUGUUUCCAAUAAAUUGCGCAGAUGGUGAACUCAUUAUUAUAUCUUUACUUUAGUGACUAAAAAUUCGUAAUUGUUUCUGAUCUUUGGAUUUUUUUUUCCUUCAAAAGUUCAGAUAGUUUGGUUAUGCUUAUCUUUGCCAGAAAAUAUUAGUCCUCUUUUUUCCGGAAUACAAAUAUGCAUUAGUCUAUGAUUUAGGCAGAUAUGUUAUUUCAACAUCUUAUGGCUAACCUAUGAGUUUACCUUUUCACAUGCGACAGCUUCUCGAUUACAUAUCAGUGUAAAUAUUCUUUUGUCUUGUCUUCUGUCUCCAUCAUCCUUUAUAAAUUUGAUUUCCAUGGUAAAUAAGAACAAUCAAGGACCCACCUUCACCAUCAAGAUUUAGAGAUUCUUAGAAAAGUAAAUUGCAUGUGGGCCAGCUUUAGUCUAUAUUUGCCUCCAGGCUAGCUCAGGAAACAACUUUACAUUUAUUAGAUGUCAUAUACUAACUGUUCAGAGAUUUUAGUUUGCAAGUUCUGUGUGAGUUUCCUUUUGCUGUGAGGGGUGCUCCAUGUCCCUGCUUAGUUGCUCUGUGGUGAGGCAAACAAAUGUGUAUGCUAACCAGGAUAGCAACAAUUUUGUGAUCUUGGGUUUUGGGAUUUGUUUGCUAAACCAUAAAAGUAGCGGUUCUUUUAAAACACUGCAAUUUGCCUUGCCGAUCUACAGGGAGCUGCAAACAAAAUUAUGCAUCACUGCUUGUUCCAUGGCCGAAAAACACUGGCACUUCCCAACUGCAGUUGCAUGCAAGAUUUGGAACAUGGCAAUUUACAUGCUUUGUUCAUUCUUGAAUCCUUUUUGUUAUGGUCAUUUUCUUCUCAAAUGCUCAUACUUAAUAUUUUGCCAAUUACUAAUUAGAGAUGAUAUUGUUUUUGGUCAAAACUGAGAUCCGAGUACAUCACUGUCUUCUGAUAUCUACAGGUUUAGUUCCCAUAAUUAGGGAUAUUGACCAAAUAUUACUAAUGCUAAAGCGGUUACACCUAUUGAAUGUCCAUUGUUGUGUUUCUUAAAAUAUAGAAUCUUUUUGUUUGGUUGACCUAUCAGCUUGAAAAAUAUGCAUGUACUUUUAAAAACAUGACGACAUGUUCAUUUUUUAAAAAAUAUCUCAAAGUGGCGCAGCCAGAGACAAAAAUCAAUGACUCUAGUCCCGAUAAGUUACGAGGAAGAUGUAUAUUUCCUACAAACGUAUUCGGUAAAAGAAGCAAACAAAUUAAUGUAGAUUUUAAUGGUUCCUGCUUUCUAGGUAAUUGAUAAAUCAUUUUGUGUGUGUUUGCUUUCCAUAAUUAAUGUCAUGUAGAUUACUGGCUCUUGUGCAUUGUAGGAGAUCGUGAAUGGCAGAAUUAGGUUACAGAUUGUGUGAGAAAUCACUGAUUGGUAGCCUUGAGCUAAUUUGGAACAUCAUUUUUCAUUCACCAUGUAGUACCUACCUUAGUUUAGCUAUUUCUCAAACUUUAUGAUACUAUGGAUCUUUGUAACUGCAAAGAGGAAAUCUAAAAAUAACGUGAAUCUGUUAAGUGCUCAAAGUGAAUAUGUAAUUUAAGUUGAUUUGAUGUAUUAAGUAGGAGCUUCUUCUAUAAAUAACUAAAUGCAGGCGUGCCGGAGGUGCAGGUGACCAUAGCUGAGUACCUUGGUGAGCUUGCUUUGGCUCAUGUUUCCAAGAGAUUGGCGGCCUGCCGCAAAGGGAGGCGACACUGAAUGCGCUGAGCCGAUGUCAUCUGAAGAAUCAAGCACCAAGAUACUGCUGCUUCAAGCUCUACCACUGCUCGCCGUCUCGCGGCUCCAUGGCCAGGUACAGUGGCGAUGUGCUUGGUGCAGUGGAGGCAAGCGCCGUGGGAGAAGAGUAACUUCGGGAGGGGUCAAGGUUGAGCAGGAGAUGAAGGGGUUGCCUUGCGCAACACCGUGCUCGGUUUACCUUGGGCUCAUCAUCAAGGAUGAUGGCAGCAGUCAGGCCUGAUCCGGAGGCGGUGUGGCCAGCGAGUUCUCUGCCGGAGGAGGAGGUGAGGAACAACACGAGGUUUCAUAUCUUCAAAUCAUUCAGUAAUUGAUCUUCGGGAAAUGUAUUAAGAGCGUCGUAUAGAAGUUCAUGAUUGUUUGACUCAGUUAUGGCAAAUGAAGCAAAUGAGCUUUUCAUGUAUUCUUGUUUGUAGCAAAGUAUAAUUUUUCAGAAGGUUGGCUUAUUAACAUUUGUGAAAUAGUGAAGAUGUUGCUUGGUCCUUUACCA